UGGGCUGUUCGUCGUGUAGAAUUGCCAUGGCCAUGGGAGGAGCGCAAUGAGCUAGUUGUGAGAGAAGGUGAUGUGAAGGAGUUUUUGAGUGUUUAUGGUUAUAAUGAUACGCAACAAUGAGGAGAUGGAAAUUAACUUCUUGAAGGUGGCAAAGUCAGUGGUAGCUCUUUCAAAGAGUGCAGAUGAUUGAUGAGCUGCUUGAAGUACCAUUGUGGUUCAGUGAUUGCAGAAUCUUCAUCUAGAACCCUACAAGUUAACAAAAUCAGUGGUAGUUUCUUACGAGAGCACAGGUGGUUGGUGAACUGUUUUAUGUACCAAUAUGGUCGAUGAACUGAUGCAAAAUUUUGGGGAGAGAAACUUGAUGGCGGAUUUCGCGAGGCACAGGAAAAUGCUCAGUGUUUUUUUCUGAUUAUUUGUUCUUGAGCUUCCUUUGUUGAUAUUCAUCAACUCCAGAUUUUUCAUGUGUUUUAGAUGAUUCCAAUCUAUAUUAUGUGGGCAAAAAAUGAGUGAUGAGAGUGAAACAAGAAAGAUGUUUUCCACCUCUCAAUUUCGAACACAGUUGAAUACCACUCUUGCAUGUGGUUUUGGUCUCCUGUUGUCAAGUAAGGGUAAAGGGUGAUGAGGUGACAGCAACUGUAAUUGUUUUCACUGUACAAUUAUGGCGAUGGAGUUGUGGAUGUUGAUGGCAUCAGUAUACUUGUCAAUUUAAGAAAUAUGGUUACAGCGCAGCGCAAUUUCAGUCGUUCUGUUCUCAGCAGUUUCACCAAUACGUGUUGCUCAUACUUUGCCUCGUCUGUUCGGCCACCCUGUGGACGAGAAAUACGUUUUGUUUCGCUGCAGAGUGCAAAUGGCAGAUGAAGAGCUCCAUGUACCAACAAGGCUGAAGGGUUGAUUGCAUAAUGUUUGAUUAUGAAUUCAAUGGUUCUUCAACACCGUAAAGAACAGAAGAGCUCUGUAGACCUUUUUCUGUUGAAUAAUCUUGUGUUUAGGUUUCUGUAACCCAAAGGGUUAGAAGCCUAGUGUCACGGGGUAAUUUUUCACUAUGCGAAUAAACCCGUGCGGCAGCCUAGUCCCUCGCUAGACUCAGCCUUCCCUCGUCUAUCCACUCGUGUUUGCCUAUUAACUAAGUGUUUCCCUCACCCGAGAGGUUUCCCCACUUUCCCAUGUUAAAGACAAGCGGAAUACACAAGUAGAAUUGCUCUUAACCAAGCACA